AGAGAUGUGGUGCCAGCCCUGGAGCAGCUCCCAUGACGCACAGAACACUGGGUCCCGGCGACAGAUGCCAGGGUGGAGCCCAAGUCUGCAGAUCAUGAACCCUUGGGGUCAAAUUCUGGCCUUCCUUCCAGCUGCCUGUUUGGGGACAGAUCAACUGCUACUGUUUAUCAGUCUCUUCACCUUCGCCGGGAGCCAGGUGUCUGCUCCCCAGGGGCAAGCUCACUCGAGUCUCCUUCCAGAAGCAUUUAGUCUCCAUUAUAUGGCUCCCUGUUGGCCGGAUUAAAUUCCGUACCCAGCCUCGACUCCAGCAUCACUUACAUGGUAAACUGCAAAGUAUAAAGUACUUUUGUACAAAGGAGAGGAUGGUGAACACUUAAGAACGCAAGAUUGCAACAAUCAAUGCCUGUGGACCUGGAGGGCAUUAUGCAAGGGUCGUGCAUUCACUUGGAAUGAAUGAGAAGAAAAAGGUGCCUCUUCUGGACGCGGGACGAGUGCCUUGCACACCUCACGGUCCCCUAGAGGGCGGCCCAGUCCCGCAGGCCAUCUGGAGUCGUUUUUCUGUAAUGCCGAUGUAAUGGUAUGGUCUGGACCACGUGUUGGAUCCCAGAUAGAAGCGCUUGUUGAAGAUGACUGACCAACAAGAGAGAAUGACUCCUUGAGACCGUGGAGGCAUCAUGUCAACCUUGGAUUGUGAACAUCAUGUCAACCUUGGAGAGAAAUAAACCGUCAUCUUGUCUAGGCCUGCAUCGUCUAAUAUGGUAGCCAUCAGCCACAUGGGGCUAUUGGACAGUGAAAGUGUGGCUGGUGUCACACACUGAAAAUUUGGAUAUAUUGGAUUGAAUAAAAUAUGCUGUUAAAAGGAACCCUUCCCUUUGACCUCAUUGUAAUGUGGCUACUAGAAAAUUUAAAAUUGCACAUGUAGCUCACAUUAAUUUUUUAUUGGUCAAUGCUGGUUUAGGCCAUUGAUAUUUUGCCUUUGUUAUAGCAGCUGAAUGUCACUAGUAACGGGUCAUGUACUCAUUGGUGCCACUUGAAGUCACGUGUAGGGGGCCCCCUAGCACGAGUAGGUCAUGAGAGGAGCAGGGGCUCUGGAAGAGUUUUGAGGGACUCUAGUAUUCAAAGGAGUAUGAGCUUGCAAGAGUCAGAGAAUGAGCCCAGAGAAGCAAUAGGAAAACCAGGAAAAUGAUGUGCCUUACAAUCUUAGGGAGCAGCGUUUCAGGUUGGAAGGAGGUACCAAGUGCAUCGGUUACUUGAGAGGUCAGAAAGAUAAAAACUGGGGGACCUGGGUGGCUCAGUCAGUUGAGU